GACGAACGCUGGCGGCGUGCUUAACACAUGCAAGUCGAACGGAAAGGCCCUGCUUUUGUGGGGUGCUCGAGUGGCGAACGGGUGAGUAACACGUGAGUAUCCUGCCCUUGACUUUGGGAUAACUUCAGGAAACUGGGGCUAAUACCGGAUAGGAGCUCCUGCUGCAUGGUGGGGGUUGGAAAGUUUCGGCGGUUGGGGAUGGACUCGCGGCUUAUCAGCUUGUUGGUGGGGUAGUGGCUUACCAAGGCUUUGACGGGUAGCCGGCCUGAGAGGGUGACCGGCCACAUUGGGACUGAGAUACGGCCCAGACUCCUACGGGAGGCAGCAGUGGGGAAUAUUGCACAAUGGGCGGAAGCCUGAUGCAGCAACGCCGCGUGCGGGAUGACGGCCUUCGGGUUGUAAACCGCUUUAGCCUGUGACGAAGCGGGAGUGACGGUAAUGGGUAAAGAAGCACCGGCUAACUACGUG
rnacentral:rRNA from 1 species